UGAAUCUUUUCUCUCCCCAUAUCCUUCUGGCUUGCACAUGGUACCUCCCACUCCAGCCUGUCUUAAAACAAUUCUUUCUAAAAUAAACCAGCAGAAAAGAUCAUUUGAUCAGUUUGCAUACAGACUCUGGAAUGUUCUAGAAGCUGAUUUCUCCCGUCCAACUAACUACCUAAGGUUCUGGAGAUGAAGCUCAGUGCCUUGCAUAUCUAGGCUUAUCUGGAGACAUAGCCUUUACAGGAGGACUCACCCCAGCCACUCUCCAGGAGACUUCCAGGCUUCCAGCCUUGGAAUGGAUUCCAAUAUUCAGGCUGGAAUUGCUGACAAAAGAGAUCUUGUUCCAGGAAAGUUGGCAAUGGCAUCACUGAACCCAGAGGGGAGGGAUUUGACGGAGACCUUCCAUUUAAAGCUAAGUGUUCCAAGGUCUCACGCUUUGCAUGUUGCCUGGCUGUGGGUCUCUAUAUUUGGUCACACCUGCUGCAAGAGGAAGCUUCCUUGAAGAUGAGACUGAGGCACUGAUCUCUGAGUACCACAGAAUGUCAUUAUGAGUCAUCUUAUCUCUAUCUUCCUUUCGUGAAACAGCAGCCUUUGGCUUUACCCUAGGUCCCCAGGACAUCUAGUAUCAGGUUCUUGGUUACCCAAGCAGCAUUGGGGUGUGUGCUCCAUCUCAUGGAGUGGGUCUUGUUUAAAUCAGAUAUUGACUGGUUACUUGCACAUGCUAUGUGCCGCCAUUGCACUUGUAUAGGAUGACAAACACCACUGUAGAUCAAAGGGGUUUUAGCUGGGUUGGUGUUUCUGUUUCUCCUUUGGGAGCGUACAGAGAGCUGUUGGACACUAAGAGAACUAAUCCAGAGUGGUGAAGGUUCUAUGUAGGCACCAGCUCAGCCUCUCUGUGUUCAGUGGGUUGUGUAGGCGUCGUCUUCAGCAAUGGAGCCUUGCCAUCAGUCUGUGGAGAGCAACCUAGAGUCUGGGCAACAGUCUGCACUGUUUAGGGAUUUCCACGGGACCACUUUGGCCAACAAGUCAACUAGAUGUAACCGAUGGCGGUUCUGGAAGUUUCAUUUGGGGACAAGAGAUGGCCAGUUGAACUCUGUCUCCCUUGUUACUUGGAGAUUUCAUUUAGAUCGCCUACAUAUAAAUAUACUUUCGAAAGCGUCUACAGUAUUAGGUUUCCAUGCUACCCCUCGCGUGACUCUUAAUUUUAACACUCUCUCCCCAUACUCCCUCCCCUUCCCCACUUACCCUUCGAAUUCCAGGCACACACAGCCUUGUCCAUCCAUAACUAUUCUAUUUAUCAUCCCUAGAGGGAGCUAUUUGUUCCUCCUAGCCUCUUACUCUGUACCUAACAUCUGUGGUUCUGUGACUUGUAGCUUGCUUACUGUUGACUUAACAGCUAAUGUCCACAUAGAAGUGAAUACUUUUA